rnacentral:rRNA from 1 species
GAUGAACGCUGGCGGCGUGCCUAAUACAUGCAAGUCGAGCGAACGGACGAGAAGCUUGCUUCUCUGAUGUUAGCGGCGGACGGGUGAGUAACACGUGGAUAACCUACCUAUAAGACUGUGAUAACUUCGGGAAACCGGCGCUAAUACCGGAUAAUAUUUUGAACAGCAUGGUUCAAAAGUGAAAGACGGUCUUGCUGUCACUUAUAGCUUGAUCCGCGCUGCAUUAGUUAGUUGGUAAGGUAAAGGCUUACCAAGGCUACGAUGCAUAGCCGACCUGAGAGGGUGAUCGGCCAGACGGUAUCUGAGACACGUUCCAGACUCCGGCGGGGGGCAGCAGUAGGGAAUCUUCCGCAAGGGGCGAGAGGCUGACGGAGCAACGCCGCGUGAGUGAUGAAGGUCUUAGGAUGGUAAAACUCUGUUAUUAGGGGAGAUGAUAUGUGUAAGUAGCUGGGAAGAUAUUGACGGUACCUAAUCAGAAAGCCACGGCUAACUCCGUG